CCCAACAAGAGAGCUUCUGGUUUUUUAACAAAAGUAGAACAAAACCUAGAAUAAAUUUGGUGCGAUUAGCACGUUGAGGAGACCCUCCUUAUUUCACUUGUCCUGAAAUAACACACAAACCAAAACACAGCUAUCUUUUGAAAGUUGCAAAGUGGCUCUCCCAGAAAAUAAUAUGGGGCAAACGUGCAUAUUUGGGGGGAAAUGGGUAUAAUGCAGAUAUUGCUGACAAUAACAUCGAAAUGUGCAGUGUGAAGAUGAAGAAACAAAGAUAUAAAUGGGCAGGUUAUCCCAUCUAUCUUCUGCAGCGGCCAAACAAAACCUGCAUUUCCAGGCUGUCGGAUGUUGGACCUUGAUUUCAAUGUAUUGAAAUCAAUAUUCAAGCCAAUAUUCAACCCAAGCCUGACUUUCAGGACAUUUCUAAGGCACACCAAGUUGCAUUAAACUCAUAUAUUUGUUACCUCUCAGGAAGCCUGCCAUAAAUAUGAUCCCAAUGACCACCUCGCAUCUCUGCGUGAUGCAGAAGACCUGCGCUUCUUAGCUCUCUACCUUUCAGCUUCACAAGUGCAACACGUUUGGAUCGGACUAUCUGACCAAGAUAAGAGUGGACAUGCAAGGGAAUGUUUGGUCCAGCCUGUCGAAACUUCCUGUUCCUCCUGGCCUGGAGCAUCCUUCCUUUUGCAUGUGACUAGUGGGUAGGCGUGACCUUUCCAGACCUGGUAAAAGGCAAGAGCAUGCCUCCACUCUCUCUCUUUCCCAUCUUCCUUUCAUCCUGCAAACUUCCUGGACUGAACUGCUGGCUGCCCCAGGUCCGUCUCCCUUACAGGCUAAUCCCAUUAGUAUAAAUUUGUAACUUUAAGCCUUAAGCCUGCCUUCAGGGAUCACACUAUGCUCUGCCUGAUCAUGAGCAAACUUUCUUUUUGUUGCUUAUAAAUAAGACUGUGGUGCCUUUAUUUUUUUAGGAGGGAUUCAAGGGGUCUUACCAGGAAAAUAUUACCCUAAUUAAAACACAUUUCAGUCUGGACAAGCCAGAUUGAAUUGCAUAUUGUCUUAAGAAACUCACACGAGUUUGCAACUAGUUUUCUGCUGUGUAAAGGGGAAUGCACUCUGCUAAGUAAAGGAACUUGCUAGCACAAGUCAUGAAGGACAUUAAUAAUAAAUAUAUCCUCUUCUGCCACCCUGAACAUUCCCACAAUGGGAAGAUCAGCCACUCUUUCUCAUUUUAGUUUCACACAGUUUUUAAGAACUCAAAUAUUUCCUGGGGGGGGGAGCAGAAUUGUGCUUGUCUUCCCCACCCCAACUCUCCUUGCUCGCCUCCUCCACACCCCAAAGGGUCAUUGUGGGCUCCUGGUUGAUGUCCUGCUAGUCAAGGAAGAUUUUCUAUGGUUCAUUUGGGUGGAAUGAUCACGUAGCAUGUUGUCUGUACUGGUGGGUCUGUUUGUGACCUGUUCUUUCUGCAUCCCUACAGGAUGGCAAAUGGGAGUGGUCAGAUGGAUCUGAAGCCUCCUUCAUGCCUUGGGGUGAGGGGGAACCUGACGAUUCUGGCGUCAAGUUUUGUGUCUUCUUGUCUCACCAAGAUGGUUUUCAGAAAUUUAGAACUGACCGUUGCCCAUACGUUGUGCCCUACGUUUGUGAGAAUAAGCCAAAGUGUUGGGGUCCGUGACCUCAUCCCUGCCUCUGGAUGACUCCAUCAAACCCAAGAGGCUUCCAUCCCACUUAGUUGCUGAGGUCCCCCAGCCCUGCCUUUCCAGCUGUACCUUUUUAGUGCCCCACUAGAUCAUGGCCCACUUACUGCUCUCACAAUGGCCAACUAGAUCCUCCCAUGGGAAUCCUAGAAGUAGGACUGAGUGCAAGAGCACCUUCCCCUGUGAGCCAAGGAUGAACGAUCUCUGUAGACCUUCAGAUGGAACAAAGCUGUGUCAUCCCAGACCAUUGCCCUGCUGGUGGCAUUUGUGCCCUUUGGGGUUCCUUAUAAGUCAGCAGGGGAUGCGGGUGGUGCUGUGGGUUAAACCACACAGCCUAGGACUUGCUGAUCAGAAGGUUGGCGGUUCGAAUCCCCGCGACGGGGUGAGCUCCCGUUGCUUGGUCCCUGCG